AGUGCGACAGGCUGCCUCUGUUUGUUCAGGCUUCACAUGGUGUCAGUCUGCUGAGCUGCUGCUGCUGAUCGACCUGGACCUGAUCACCUCAAACUGAAGGUUGUUGACUCGCCUGAGAAGCUCCAGCAGCAGAAAUGAUCAUCAGACUGGGAAGACUGACACCAGGAUACUUCCGCCUCCUCCAGCGGCAGGUGUCAGGUGAGGUCCGGAUGCAGCCACAGAGCAGCCUCAUCGAUCCCAUCGCCAUGGUGAUGGCCACAUUGGGGACGGGGGUGUCGCUGUACAGCACCAGACGGAUGGCAGAGAGGGUCCAACUGAAACUCCCCAACGCCUGAGAUCAAUGAUGACGUCUCUCACUUUGUACGACAGAUGAGUCAAUGUGAAUGUAAAUAACUGAUGUCACUGUCAGAGCAGGUGUGUGUGUGUGUG